rnacentral:rRNA from 1 species
AGUGAAAAGCGUACUGGAAAAAUAGUAAUAUAUCUAAAAGAUGAAAAACAACCGUACCUGGAUUAACCGCAACAGGUAAGCUAGUAGAGAAUACGAAGGCGUAAAUGGGGCAACAAUCGUAAAGGAACUCGGCAAAUUUACUACGUAACUUCGGAAUAAGGAGGUCUCAUUAGUCUUGAUUAAUAUCAGGUAAAAAGGAAGAAGCAUGAAAUAAUGUUGUACGACUGUUUAAUUAAAACACAGCACUUUGCGUUAAAGAUUAAAAUCAAAGUAUAAAGUGUGAUGUCUGCCCGGUGCCGGCUGGUUAACAG